rnacentral:rRNA from 1 species
UUUAUUGGUAGCUGGAUGAAGGUUAAACUAGCUUACUCAGUUUGUUGUGUUUUGUAAGAAAUUAAAGUCGAGGUAAGAAUUCUUUGAUGUGCUAGGGGACGAUAAGACCCUAGAAGCUUAACAAUAAGAGUAUUUAUUAAUUAUAAAAAUUAAUUUGUUUUACUGGGGCGGUAAAGGUAUAUGAACUAUUAGCGUAUUGAUAGAUCCUUAAAAUAAAGAUAAAACGGGAAAGUUACUCUAGGGGUAACAGUGCAAUAUUUUUGGAGAGAUCAUAUCGAUAAAAAUGUUUGCAACCUCGAUGUUGAAUUAAGAUGUCUACGUGAAGCAGCAGGUACGUGAGAGGGUUUGUUCAACCUUUAAAUUUUUACAUGAUCUGAGUUCAAACCGGA